AUUGAACGCUGGCGGCAUGCCUUACACAUGCAAGCCGAACGGCAGCACGGGUGCCUGCACCUGGUGGCGAGUGGCGAACGGGUGAGUAAUAUAUCGGAACGUACCUUAUUGUGGGGGAUAACGCAGCGAAAGCUGUGCUAAUACCGCAUAAUCCCUAAGGGGGAAAGCGGGGGACCGUAAGGCCUCGCGCAAUUAGAGCGGCCGAUACCUGAUUAGCUAGUUGGUGAGGUAAAGGCUCACCAAGGCAACGAUCAGUAGCUGGUCUGAGAGGACGAUCAGUCACACGGGGACUGAGACACGGCCCAGACUCCUACGGGAGGCAGCAGUGGGGAAUUGUGGACAAUGGGGGCAACCCUGAUCCAGCAAUGCCGCGUGAGUGAAGAAGGCCUUCGGGUUGUAAAGCUCUUUUGUCAGGGAAGAAACAGCAGCUCUAACACAGUUUGCGGAUGACGGUACCUGAAGAAUAAGCACCGGCUAACUACGUGCCAGCCGCCGCCGUAA
rnacentral:rRNA from 1 species